rfam:Triticum aestivum genome assembly, contig: Triticum_aestivum_CS42_TGACv1_scaffold_405450_5BL
CAUCUACUCCCUCCAUCCCGAAUUAUUUGUCGUAGAAAUGGAUGUAUCUAGAAUUAAAAAAAUUCUAGAUACAUACAUUUCUACGACAAGUAAUUCCGAAUGGAGGGAGUAGUAU